AUUGAACGCUGGCGGCAGGCCUAACACAUGCAAGUCGAGCGGAUGAAGGGGGCUUGCUCCUGGAUUCAGCGGCGGACGGGUGAGUAAUGCCUAGGAAUCUGCCUGGUAGUGGGGGAUAACGUCCGGAAACGGGCGCUAAUACCGCAUACGUCCUGAGGGAGAAAGUGGGGGAUCUUCGGACCUCACGCUAUCAGAUGAGCCUAGGUCGGAUUAGCUAGUUGGUGGGGUAAAGGCCUACCAAGGCGACGAUCCGUAACUGGUCUGAGAGGAUGAUCAGUCACACUGGAACUGAGACACGGUCCAGACUCCUACGGGAGGCAGCAGUGGGGAAUAUUGGACAAUGGGCGAAGGCCUGAUCCAGCCAUGCCGCGUGUGUGAAGAAGGUCUUCGGAUUGUAAAGCACUUUAAGUUGGGAGGAAGGGCAGUAAGUUAAUACCUUGCUGUUUUGACGUUACCAACAGAAUAAGCACCGGCUAACUUCGUG
rnacentral:rRNA from 1 species